UCGAGGAUCUUCCGCAAUGGGCGAAAGCCUGACGGAGCGACACCGCGUGCAGGAUGAAGGCCUUCGGGUUGUAAACUGCUGUCACGCACUAGGAAUCCCCUGCGGUGAAUAGCCGCAGGGUUGACUAAAGCGAGAGGAAGCACCGGCUAACUCUGUGCCAGCAGCCGCGGUAAGACAGAGGGUGCAAACGUUGUUCGGAAUCACUGGGCAUAAAGCGCACGUAGGCCGUCCACUAAGUCGAAUGUGAAAUACCCCGGCUCAACCGGGGAACUGCAUCCGAUACUGGUGGACUCGAGGAUGGUUGGGGUGAGUGGAACUCCAGGUGGAGCGGUGAAAUGCGUAGAUAUCUGGAGGAACACCGGUGGCGAAAGCGGCUCACUGGACCAUCUCUGACGCUGAGGUGCGAAAGCUAGGGGAGCAAACGGGAUUAGAUACCCUCGUAGUCCCUGAGCGGGCUGGCAAGGCGCAU
rnacentral:rRNA from 1 species